rnacentral:rRNA from 1 species
UAGCAAUACCGAAGAAAGUCUAGUGGCGAACGGGUGCGUAACACGUGGGCAAUCUGCCUUAAAGUGGGGGAUAGCUCGGCGAAAGCCGAAUUAAUACCGCAUGUGAUUACCGGAGACAUCUUCGGAACAUCAAAGUCGGGGCAACCUGACGCUUUUUGAGGAGCCCGCGGCCUAUCAGCUAGUUGGUGAGGUAACGGCUCACCAAGGCUUUGACGGGUAGCUGGUCUGAGAGGACGACCAGUCACACUGGAACUGAGACACGGUCCAGACACCUACGGGUGGCAGCAGUCGAGAAUUUUUCUCAAUGGGGGAAACCCUGAAGGAGCGACGCCGCGUGGAGGAUGAAGGUCUUCGGGUUGUAAACUCCUGUCAUUUGGGAACAAUGCUUACGUAUUAACUGUACGUGAGUUGAUAGUACCAGAAGAGGAAGAGACGGCUAACUCUGUGCCAGCAGCCGCGGUAAUACAGAGGUCUCAAGCGUUGUUCGGAUUCAUUGGGCGUAAAGGGUGUGUAGGUGGCGCGCUAAGUCGGGUGUGAAAUUUCGGAGCUUAACUCCGAAACUGCAUUCGAUACUGGCGUGCUUGAGGACUGGAGAGGAGACUGGAAUUCUCGGUGUAGCA